GAUGAAGAACGUAGCGAAAUGCGAUAAGUAAUGCGAAUUGCAGAAUUUCCGUGAGUCAUCGAAUCUUUGAACGCACAUUGCGCCCUUUGGUAUUCCGAAGGGCAUGCCUGUUCGAGCGUCAUUAUCCUCCCCUCAAACCCCCGUCUUGCGGGUUUGGUGUUGGACCGCGUUGGGGGCUUAUCGUUCCGCCAACUGGUCUCAAAGGUAGUAACGGCGUCAAUUGGACCCUCCUCGCACUGAGCUUUUCGGAGCACGCCUGGAGUCGCAAGGUCCUAGGGGCACGGUCGGCCCCGUGUGGACACUCCCGCACGGAAGAGCCUUUUUUUUCGGGUUGACCUCGGAUCAGGUAGGAAUACCCGCUGAACUUAAGCAUAUCAAUAAGCGGAGGA
rnacentral:misc_RNA from 1 species